rnacentral:lncRNA from 1 species
ACAGGAAGUACCCUGUCUGACCAUUUCUUGGCCUUCUUUGUCAUCUCUAUCCAAAACAGAGGAUCUCUGCUGUAACGUGACACUUUCUAAGGCUCCCAUAGGCUCUCAGAAGGCGCCAGAACGUUGAAUGAUGACUCUGCAGUCUUUGGCUGAAAAACAGUAGCGCAUUUGGAUAGUGGUCGAUCUGAGAACAAUGAGACGGGCGCACGCGUGCACGUGAAGAGGCCAUUUUACAUUUUCAGUCUUUGAACGAAAACAACGACUCCCGGUCGGAAUAUUAUCGCUAUUUUACGAGAAAAAUCGCAUAAAAAUGGAUUUUAAACAGCGUUUGACAUGCUUCGAAGUACGGUAAUGGAAUAUUUUGAAUUUUUUUGUCACGAAACGCGCCGGCGCGUCACCCUUCGGAUAGUGUCUUGAACGCACGAACAAAACGCCGCUAUUUGGAUAUAACUAUGGAUUAUUUGGAACCAAACCAACAUUUGUUGUUGAAGUAGAAGUCCUGGGAGUGCAUUCUGACGAAGAACAGCAAAGGUAAUCCAAUUUUUCUUAUAGUAAAUCUGAGUUUGGUGAGUACCAAACUUGGUGGGUGUCAAAAUAGCUAGCCUGUGAUGGCCGGGCUAUCUACUCAGAAUAUUGCAAAAUGUGCUUUCACCGAAAAGCUAUUUUAAAAUCUGACACCGCGAUUGCAUAAAGGAGUUCUGUAUCUAUAAUUCUUAAAAUAAUUGUUAUGUUUUUUGUGAACAUUUAUCGUGAGUAAUUUAGUAAAUUCACCGGAAGUGUUCGGUGGGAAUGCUAGUUCUGAACGUCACAUGCUAAUGUAAAAAGCUGUUUUUUGAUAUAAAUAUAAACUUGAUUGAACAAAACAUGCAUGUAUUGUAUAACAUAAUGACCUAGGAGUGUCAUCUGAUGAAGAUCAUCAAAGGUUAGUGCUGCAUUUAGCUGUGGUUUUGGUUUUUGUGACAUUAUAUGCUAGCUUGAAAAAUGGGUGUCUGAUUAUUUCUGGCUGGGUUCUCUCCUGACAUAAUAUAAUGUUUUGCUUUUGUUGUAAAGCGUUUUUGAAAUCGGACAGUGUGGUUAGAUAAAGGAGAGUCUUGUCUUUAAAAUGGUGUAAAAUAGUGAUAUGUUUGAAAAAUUGAAGUUUUCGGAUUUUCGAGGGGUUUGUAUUUCGCGCCACGCCCUAUCAUUGGAUAUUGGAGCGGUGUUCCGCUAGCGGAAAGUCUAGAUGUAAGAGGUAGUUAAGACGUGAAAUCUGCUGCCACCCACAAGAUGCAGUAGUGAUAAAGUCCAGAGAAUGUGGAGUUCCUUAUCAUUCAUCAAACUGAAGUUGAUUUGGUGUUCAGCAGCAUAAGUGUCUGACCACUGAAGAGAACGCAAGUUCUACAGCUACAGCAGGUCAAUCCACCAAUAUAUGUCAUGCACCAUGGGCAGAUGUAUCGAAGUUUGCAAGCUGGUCUUAUGGGUUGCAGUUUGUGUGACCUUCAUCGUCUUGGGUGCCGUGUACAUUGAUGACUGCCCAGUGAAACGUAUCAUACCUAUCCACAUGAUCAUUUCUGGAUCUUUCGGUCUCCUCUAUGUAUUCUUCUCCUGCUACAAGGACCGUGUUGUGUGCCAACAUUUGUCUAAACUAUUUUGGUUCAUGAUCAUCAUCUGGCUCAUUAUUGGCCAUUUUUGGACCUUCUCUGUAUUCCAACCCAACUACGAACGGAAAGAGAUCAUCGGCAACACGGUAUACUGCAACAAAUCUCUAUACCUCUUUGUGGCCUCUACCACCAUCAUAUUGGACAUUAUUAUAUGUGUGUGGCUGCUUGUGUUGUUCGAUGUAUGUAAAUGCUUCAUACUUUGUCUGUUCUGCUGUGUCUCUUUAUGCAUGUCUGACGAUGUCAAACCUGUGGAGGUUGUUGAGCCUUUGAGGGUUGUGGAGACUGAGGACUGUGUUGAACCUAAGGAGUGUGUGGGGACUGACGGAAGUGUGGGGACUGAAGUGUGUGUGGGGACUGAAGUGUGUGCGGGGACUGAAGUGUGUGCGGGGACUGAAGUGUGUGUGGGGACUGAGGUGUGUGUGGGGACUGAGGUAUGUGUGGAGACUCAGGAGAGUGUGGGGCAUGACGAGAGUGUGGGACAUGAAGAGAGUGUGAGUCCAACACUGCUCAAUAUUAAUGCAAUUCACUAUUCACAAUACCAAUAGUAAUUUACAUGAAUUUGUCUCUUUUGGGGGUGAGAUAAUGUAAAAAAUGUAGAUGUCAUCAUAAAAAAUAAGCAAUCAAUGGGUAAAUUUGUGCCAUUAUGUUGCCAAAGAUCAGAAGAUUCAAAUAAAAAUAUUAAUUCCCACUUUGAUUUUCAAGAUUUAAAAUAUACCUAUUUUAUCAUUACCAUUUUUGAACAGAAUGAUAAUCAUUUGGCUAAUAGGCUUAACACACCCGCCCUGAAAUAGUUUAGUGGAACGGCCCAUCAACGAAAACGCAUACCCAAAGAAAAUGGACAGGUGUGUUAAAAUGCCUGGGCCGACUUUUGGUCCGAUUUUGCCCCUGCUGUGGUUCGUAAAUCAUUACAAUUAUAAUAACUAACUGGAUCAAAUUGUGUGACCAUCAUCUUAGUGCUUGACAAAUACUAGGCCUAAGCACAAUGCCUCUCCCCUAUUUGACCUAGAUAGUUUGUGUACGUAUUAAUAUGUAGGCUAAGUGUGCCUUUAAUAAAAAAAUAUAUAAUUUACGUAGUUCUGUCCUUAAGCUGUUGUCUAUUAAUGUUCUGUAUUAUGUCAUGUUUUGUGUGGACCCCAGGAAGAGUAGCUGCUGCUUCACUAGCACAGAGAGGCUGCUGCCUAUUUACACAGACUUCAAAUCACUGGCCACUUUAAUAAAUGGAACAAUAAAUGUUUACAUAUGUUGCAUUACUCUUCUCAUAUGUAUAUACUGUAUUCUAUGCUGUUCUACUGUAUCUUAGUCAAUGCCGCUCUGACAUUGCUUGUCCAUAUGUUUAUGUAUUCUUACAGUUUUUCACAAUUGCUAAAACACAAUUUCUGAAACCUUGCUCCAUUUCCUGAAAACAUUAAACACAAAACCUCAUCUUCAAGCACUAUUUACAUAACCUCUGACUCCUCUCGCAAAAUGAAACAUUCGCCUCAAAACAGUUUUACCUGUGUUCAAAAUCAAACACUGCUCUCAAAUCAUAAACAAAGUGAUCAAAAUGAUAUACACUCUCAAGCAGUCAGUAAACAAUAUACCGAAAAAUAGAAAACACAUUGUUCAAAACAUACAAUUCUCAGGGAGAAGUACAUUUUUAAUCUAAAAAAAUAUUCAUAUUUUUCUGUCAUUGUCUUUUGAUGAACGAAAACAUGUUCUAUCAUAGUAGCUCAAAAUUAAUCAGAAAUUACUACUCUGCUUUGCUCUUUGCAAUUUUGUUUUUUGUUCUUCCUCCUCCUUGUACCCCUAUUUUUACAGUACUGUACCCUGCAUCUCACAAACUUGUCCUUUGUCUCUGUGAUACUGUAAUUCUUGUUCUUUGUUGAUAUGAACCUGCAACCAGUCAAAAUCUAUUGAGCAGUCAGUACUGUUAAUAAAUGGAAAGCACAAUGUUCAGGGCCAUACAAUUUGUCCAUUGUACAGUAUACAGCCUACAAUGCACUCACUGUACUACAGUAUACAAUACUAAAAGGGACAAAAAUCAAAGGAGUAAAUAUGUGAUCAAUGUGCUUCUUCUUGUCUUUCGGCUGGGUCAGGCCAGAGCAUUUCGUCGACAUCACAAGCAAUAUUGUCCCUCCUGAGGCAACGGGGGAAGAAGUCUCUUGUGUGCCGUAUCCAGCCCUGACCUGAUUCCUCACCUAUAUCACCACAGGCUAAAUCCAUGGCUUGCAGCAGAUUUACUCUGGUGUAGGGUUGUCUAUCAUACACUUUCCAUCUCCAAGAGGAGAAAAACUCCUCAAUCGGAUUCAGGAAAGGUGAGUAUGGAGGGAGGUACAAGUUCAUAAACUGCCCAUUGAUGUUAAACUAUUCCCUUACCUGAGCAGCUCGGUGGAAACUGACAUUGUCCCACACUAUCACAUAGGUGGGAAUGGGAUUCUCAUUUAGCUCUUGACCCUGCUGCUCUUGAACCUGCUGCUCAAAUAAAAUAUCUCUUAGAUUGGCAAUAAAUCUUAGAAGGUGCUGGGUGUUAUAUGGCCCGAGUGUAACAUGGUGAUGUAGAACACCAUGGUUGCUGAUAGCAGCACAGAUUGUGACAUUGCCACCUCGUUGACCAGGGACUUCAACAAUGGCCCGCUGUCCAAUCAUGUUUCGGCCUCUCCUUCUCCUCUUUGUUAGAUUGAAGCCUGCUUCAUCGACAAAGAUGAACUCAUAGGGUCUGUCCAAGGAUUCCAAGUCAAAUAUUGUCUGUGUAGAAAUACAAUAUACUGUAUGUAGGAUUUUGUAAGACAUACAGAGACAGUGCUAUACUGUAGAGUACAAUUAGGCCUACUGUAUGCACUUCUGAUUCACAUACAUUGUAUGUACUGAAGAGUAAUGUCAUUCACAUAGUAUGUGUUAGUACUGUAGACAAUCUGGAUUACAGUAAAUGUUUCUGAAUGUACACUUACUUGCACAUACUGAGCUCGCAGUUCUUUCACCCUUGGUGAGUUGCGCUCAAAAGGUACUCUGUAUACUUGUUUCAUUUGCAUCCUGUUACGAUGGAGAACACGGCCAAUUGUGGAAAUGCUCACACUGUCGAUUCCCUGGAAGUGUGUGUUGUCUUGUAUCACUCGUUCCUGGAUAUCUCUGAGUCGUAUUGCAUUAUCUUGAAGGACCAUGCCAACUAUAACGGUCUCUUGCUCCCGAGUGAAUAUAGCUGUCCUUCCACCUGCAUGUGGCAGCCUUGCAAUUCUACAAAAAGUAGUUGUGCAGUUACAAAACAUAUUCAUGCAGUACAAUACAUACAGUGAUUAACUUUACAAAUGUCUAUUGAAACAGCUGCAUAUAGUGUAGUACAGUAAAUUUGCAAUUACAAAAAUACAGUAGCAUACUGUACCUGUUCUCUUCCCUGAAUGUCCUUACUAUGGUGGACACAGAAAAUCGGCUCAAAUUGGGUUGCACUCUAAGUCCUGCUUCCCUCAUUGUCAGUCCAUGGACAAGAACAUGGUCUAUAACUGUUGCUCGAAUUUCAUCAGAUAUUUCCACUCUUUGUCUUCCUCUUCGUCCUCCUCUUCCUCUUUCUUGCCCUCCUCUUCCUCCUCGUCGCCCACCUCGCAUACGCACUCGUCCUCUCACAUUGUUUCUUCUAUCCAUUCUCAGACUUUCUCCUUCCCACCUUCAACAACCUGUUUGCUCUCUGAACUGGCUUAUAUUGGUUGUGUCGCAUCAUUUGAAACAGGUUAAAUCAAUUUUGAGUGGUUGUGUUCAAUCAAUGACAUGUGUUCUCUAUUUGUAUUUGAUUGUUGCCACUUGUGUUUACCAGUAUGGAUGACAUGUGCAUUAGAGUGCAGAAUGUGUUUUGAGAAUGAGAACGUGUUUAGAGUUUUGCUGAAAAGUCUAAGUGAGAUCUGCAAAUUGUGUUUUACCAUGUGAAUAAUUAGCUAAAUGAGUCCAGGCAACUGAGAACUUUGUUCAGCCAAUGGGUUUUAGUGUUUUAGCAAUUGAGAAAAACUGUAAUUCCAUUCCUUAACUUGGACUGUGUGUAUUGGGUAUAUGUUGUGAACUUGUUAGAUGUCACCUGUUAGAUAGUACUGCACUGUCAGAGCGAGAAACACAUGCAUUUCGCUACACGCGCCAUAACAUCUACUAAACACAUAGAUAUGACCAAUAAAAUGUGAUUUGAUUUGCUUUUGCAAUAGCUAAUGGGGAUCCUAAUAAAAUACCCCAAAUACCAAGCUUAUGGGUCUACUGUCUGUUACCAAUAUCAGCAAUAUUAUAUGCAGCAGCUUGUUUACUUGGAAUAAACAGAGCAAAUAAUGCAAAUGAAUACAAGUCAGACAGAGACUAAAUCGAAGUUUGAACGUAUUAUGGCUCAAUUUAAUUGAUCAAAUGUGUGUUGUGUUCUUCCAUAAUAAAAAGGCCAGGGCUUCUAGGCUGGUGUGUUUCAUUUUACCUACUCUAUAUUUGAGUUGGCAUAAUUCAAAUGGUUGCCAAUCUAUUCAAAUGAAGUUGUGCUGCCUAACUGUAACAUUGUAAAUUGUCAGUCAUCCUUACCGUUUCGAUAAGUUAGCUAACAGUAGCUUGUGAUCUUGGCUGCUUUCAGUCGCCCGCAACACCAGAAGAGGGACUGCAAGAGCAUGCGCUGUCGAGAGCGGUGGCUCUGUCAGUUAGCGAGAAAUAGUGAAAUGGAAUUAUUUUCUGACUCUCCCCAAGCGCAGAUCUCUCAGUAGUAGUGUUAACGUCACUGACACGCACAACCAAGGCCUGACUGUGUCGCACAAGAUGGAGAGGGGAAAUCUGCUGCAACACAUGCGUCACCCUUCCAAACCAACCAUAUUAGGUAUCUCUAAACUACUUGCAUGUGCCAUUCCUAUCGCUCAGAUCACCAUAGGUGCAAUGUACCUGUAUGACUGCCCCCGGCAGCACUACAUCCCCAUUUACCUGGUGGUAAUGGGGGCCUCCGUCCUGGCCCUAGCCCUGCUCUCCUGCCUACCAUGUGCCCAGGACUCAGAAGACAUGCCCCCCAACCUCCUGAACCAUCUCUGCACCACCUGGAGCACCCUGGCCUCCCUCUUCCUCUUAUGCUGGUUCAUCAGCGGUAACGUGUGGAUCUACUCCAUCUAUCAGCCCAAUUUCAACCAGACACUGACUGAGGACCCCUACUGCAACAAGACCCUGUACCUGUUUGCCUUCUGGACCACCACGCUAGCCUACGUUGUGCCGGGCCUUCUGCUGCUGGGGGGAUGCUGUAUGCUUGUCUGUGCCUUUAUACUGGGCAAGACGGACCCUGAUGACAACAGAGCAUGAGGGAGAGGAUGAGAAGAGGGGAGGAGAGGAGACAACAGUACAAGACAGGAGGAGGAGGAGGGGAGAGUAGAGGGCAGUAGAGGAGAGGGGAGAAGGGAGGAGCGGAGGAAGAUAGUAUUGGAGAGGAGAAGAGGGGAGGAGAGGGUAUAAUGUUGACUUAACAAACUAGAGAAAACCAAUGGAAUCCAGUUAUCAAUUGAAUAACGAAUGAUGUGUUUAAACUGUUAUUAUAUAUUACUGUUUCUGUAUGAGAAACGUUGUUGCAUUCAUUCUCAUUAGCUCGAUUUUAAACUAUUUAUACAUUAUUAAAUGUAUUUAAAAAAACGUUCAAAUUGUGAAUAAUGCGCCUGCGUUUCAUGUCUUUAUGAUCCUAGUCUGGU